rnacentral:lncRNA from 1 species
AACAAACAAAACAUACACAAAAGAAAAAUACAAUUUCUCUCUGUUUUUUUCUGUCAUGGCUGCUGAUAAACCCGGAGAUGAAUGGAUCAGCCUAGUAAUCUACAUCAGCAUUCCAUUGUGUUGCUUUCUGCUUACUGUAGCAUUCCAAUGCUGCUGUAACAGCCAGGACCGUAGGGUUCACCCUGCUCCCCCUGAGGAUGAAGAAGAAGAAGGCCAUAUUUAACACAGGUUCUUCAUGUCCUUAGAUCCAUUACAUACAAUAUAUAUAAUAAUACUCUUAGGUAUUGGACCGAUAUGCUUACGGAAGUGAAGGAUAGAGAGAUAUCUGAACCAGAGUCGACACCGAGAAGAGCUGGAGCGGAUUAAUUGGGCUUUAAGCGCUCAAAUGCAUCAGUGGUCCGAUCUUUUUAGUAUAUUUUCUUAAGAGCCCAAGUUUGUCAAACUAUAGUAUCUUUAUUAAUAUGUAUUGGAAUGUCAAUCUAGCCUUGUUACCCAAACAUGGUUUGAACACAUGGUUGCACGUGUGGCUG